rnacentral:rRNA from 1 species
CGGACGGGUGAGUAAUGUAUGGGGAUCUGCCUGAUGGCGGGGGAUAACUACUGGAAACGGUAGCUAAUACCGCAUAACGUCGCAAGACCAAAGAGGGGGACCUUCGGGCCUCUUGCCAUCGGAUGUGCCCAGAUGGGAUUAGCUAGUAGGUGGGGUAACGGCUCACCUAGGCGACGAUCCCUAGCUGGUCUGAGAGGAUGACCAGUCACACUGGAACUGAGACACGGUCCAG